AUGAACGCUAGCGGCAGGCUUAACACAUGCAAGUCGAGGGGCAGCACGGGUAGCAAUACCUGGUGGCGACCGGCGCAAGGGUGCGUAACGCGUGAGCAACAUACCCUAUACAGGGGGAUAAUCCAGGGAAACUUGGUCUAAUAUCCCAUAGGAUUUACAGAUGUCAUCAUCUAUAAAUUAAAGCUUCGGUGGUAUAGGAUUGGCUCGCGUGACAUUAGCUAGAUGGUGGGGUAACGGCCUACCAUGGCCAUGAUGUCUAGGGGUUCUGAGAGGAAGACCCCCCACACUGGGACUGAGACACGGCCCAGACUCCUACGGGAGGCAGCAGUGAGGAAUAUUGGACAAUGGAUGGAAAUCUGAUCCAGCCAUGCCGCGUGCAGGAAGACGGCCCUAUGGGUUGUAAACUGCUUUUAUAUGGGAGCAAUAAGGUCUACGCGUAGACCGAUGAGAGUACCAUGUGAAUAAGCAUCGGCUAACUCCGUG
rnacentral:rRNA from 1 species